AGAGUUUGAUCCUGGCUCAGAACGAACGCUGGCGGCGUGGAUAAGACAUGCAAGUCGAACGGGUUUAGUUCGGUAGCAAUACUGGAUUGAGCCAGUGGCGAACGGGUGCGUAACACGUGAGUCAUCUGCCUGAAAGUGGGGGAUAGCUCGCCGAAAGGCGAAUUAAUACCGCAUGUGCCCCGAAGCAAUUCGGGGUAAAGCCGGGGUAACCUGGCGCUUUUAGAGGAACUCGCGGCCUAUCAGCUUGUUGGUAAGGUAACGGCUUACCAAGGCUUCGACGGGUAGCUGGUCUGAGAGGACGACCAGCCACACUGGAACUGAGACACGGUCCAGACACCUACGGGUGGCAGCAGUCGAGAAUUUUUCUCAAUGGGGGAAACCCUGAAGGAGCGACGCCGCGUGGAGGAUGAAUGCUUUCGGGUUGUAAACUCCUGUCAUUUGGGAACAAAGCCUUACGUUAACUGCGUGGAGGUUUGAUAGUACCAGAAGAGGAAGAGACGGCUAACUCUGUGCCAGCAGCCGCGGUAAUACAGAGGUCUCAAGCGUUGUUCGGAUUCAUUGGGCGUAAAGGGCGCGUAGGCUGCGGGGCAAGUCGGGUGUGAAAUCUCAGAGCUCAACUCUGAAACUGCACUCGAUACUGCUUUGCUUGAGGACUGGAGAGGAGAUUGGAAUUCACGGUGUAGCAGUGAAAUGCGUAGAUAUCGUGAGGAAGACCAGUGGCGAAGGCGGAUCUCUGGACAGUUCCUGACGCUGAGGCGCGAAGGCCAGGGGAGCAAACGGGAUUAGAUACCCCAGUAGUCC
rnacentral:rRNA from 1 species